rnacentral:rRNA from 1 species
AACGCUGGCGGCGUGCUUAACCAUGCAAGUCGAACGAACCUUCGGGUUAGUGGCGGACGGGUGAGUAACGCGUGAGAAUCUGCCCUCAGGAGGGGGACAACAGCUGGAAACGGCUGCUAAUACCCCAUAUGCCGCGAGGUGAAAUGAAUUUCGCCUGAGGAUGAGCUCGCGUCUGAUUAGCUAGUUGGUGUAGGUAAUGGCUCACCAAGGCAUCGAUCAGUAGCUGGUCUGAGAGGAUGAUCAGCCACACUGGGACUGAGACACGGCCCAGACUCCUACGGGAGGCAGCAGUGGGGAAUUUUCCGCAAUGGGCGAAAGCCUGACGGAGCAACGCCGCGUGAGGGAUGAAGGCCUCUGGGCUGUAAACCUCUUUUAUCAAGGAAGAAGAUCUGACGGUACUUGAUGAAUAAGCCACGGC